UUCAAUUCUACAUACAAAUAAAAAUGGUGGUUCAGACUUCAGUUUCAAAGAACAUUUUAGUAAAUUGAAUUAGAUUUUUGAAAUACUACAAAGUUGAAGAAAGUCCAAGUGCUACAACUAAUUCCUUCAAUUAAUUGUAGGAAUCUGGUGCGAUUACGUGGUGCGUAAAAAAGUGUUGUUAUAAAAGAAAAACAGGUUGUUGAAUUUACCGAAUUCACAGUAGUGUGUAUGGUUGAUUUAGUAUUUGUAUUCGUUUAAAUCCAACGUUGAUGUGAAAAUAACUGUGAUACCAUAAUAAAUUGCCAGGACAAAUACAAUUUAGCAUCGAGCUACACAAGCAAAACGAAGACUUACCAGCAUGUGACCCACAUCUGAAGUUUCUCUUUAUUAUAUUUUGUUAUUACAGUAAUUCUGGAUUAAAUUAACAACACACAAAGUGUAAAACACAAGUUACUAUAAAAAAGUGAAGCAACGAAUGUGCUAACUGUGGAUAACUUGGAAGUGAACAAGUGGUCAACCCUUGGGGGGUAGUUGCUGGUAAUUAGACAAGGAUAAAGAGACCCUAGUAACUGCGAUUUGCGGCUACGAUACCUUCCCUAAACAGUGCGGGAUUGAAGUAAUGAAGUAAAUAAAUGCUUCCUACUGAUGACAGUUACCAUCAUAACAAGACAUGCUAAACUACAGUUUGAAAAUAAAGUUCAAAUAUGUUUGAUAUAUCUCAUGCUGGUGUUCUGAAUAUGAAGUAGGAUGGCUCAUUCUGAGAAAUCCAUUUUCAUUGUGCAGGUAUUUGUGGGUGCCUACUCUGCCCAAUAUGAAGCACUAUCAGUGGAGACAACCAAAAAUACCAGCUCCGAAGAGAUAGUGAGAUGCAUUACCGAUAAACUCGGCCUGAAUGAUGGCUCUGGAGGUCCCUAUGAGCUCGCUGAGGUGGUGGGAGAUGUCAUCAGCGGGGAGUGCAAGGAGAGGAGACUGGGGCCCAAUGAGUCCCCCGUAGCUGUCAUGAUGCUGUGGCCCAGCAACAACUCCGGCCAGUAUAAUAGGUUCUACUUGCGCGAAAAGAUCCCGGACGAGCCGUGGAUGGAGAACUUCUCGGUGGACCCGCAGCUCAUAAAGGACUACUUCCAGCGGUUCCUGUACCAGCCCAAGGACCGGGAGUACCCCGACCUGUGCCAGCUGCCGGAGCUCAACGAGCAGACGCUGUUGGACAACCUGCGGGCGAGGUUCUCCGCCGGCUACAUCUAUACCUACGUCGGCUCCAUCCUGAUAGCCCUCAACCCCUUCAAGUUCUACCCCAUCUACAACCCCAAGUAUGUCAAGCUUUACCAGAACAAGCGGCUGGGGUCCAGCUUCCCGCCCCAUAUAUUCGCGGUGGCGGAUACCGCCUACCACUGCAUGCUCCGCGAGCGGACCAACCAGUGCAUAGUUAUCAGCGGCGAGAGCGGAUCGGGGAAGACGGAGAGCACCAACUUCCUCCUCCAUCACCUAACCGCCCUCAGCCAGAAGGGUUCCCACGGGAGCGGCGUCGAGCAGACGAUCCUGAGUGCGGGCCCGGUGCUCGAGGCCUUUGGGAAUGCCAAAACGGCUCACAACAAUAACUCGAGUCGCUUCGGCAAGUUCAUCCAAGUGAACUACAAGGAGAAUGGCAUGGUGCACGGUGCGGUCGUGCAGAAGUAUCUCCUAGAAAAGUCUAGAAUAUGCAGUCAGGGUCGCAACGAAAGGAACUACCAUGUGUUCUACUAUCUGCUGGCUGGGGCCUCGGAGCAGGAGAAGGAGCAGCUGCAUCUGCUCAGUGUGGACAAGUACAACUAUCUGUCGAAGACAGGUUGUAGUGUAGUGCCCGGUGUUGACGAACAGUACGAGUUCUCCAGACUCAAGCAGUCCAUGGACAUGGUGGGAUUCACGCUGGACAAACAGCGGAGACUCUUCGCUGUUCUCUCUGCUGUACUCCUGUUGGGUAAUGUGGAGUUUCAGCCGCAGAGGAAAUCCUACCACCAUGACGAGGCAGUGGGUGUGCGGAACCCUGAGGUGGUCUCCCUCAUAUCGUCCCUAUUGCGGGUCAAGCAGGAGACGCUGCUGGCGGCUUUAACGUCCAAACGAGCGAGGGCUUCCGGAGAAACACUAGUUAUAAACUAUAGGCUUCCAGAAGCGAUAGCGACUCGUGACGCGAUGGCCAAGUGCUUGUAUGGUGCGCUUUUUGACUGGAUCGUGAUGCAGGUCAACCACGCGUUGCUCUCCAAAAAGGACACUCUGCGGGAACAUCAGGGACAUAGUAUAGGCGUUCUAGACAUAUUCGGUUUCGAAGAUUUCGGCCUGAGCAACAGUUUUGAGCAGCUGUGCAUCAACUACGCCAAUGAGCACCUUCAGUACUAUUUCAAUCAGCAUGUGUUCAAAUACGAGCAAGAGGAGUACAGAAGAGAGGGUAUCCGCUGGACAGACAUAGGUUUCUCCGAUAACACCGGCUGUUUGCAACUUAUUGAGGGCAAACCGAGCGGACUGCUGUGUCUGUUGGAUGAUCAGUGCAAUUUUCCUUGGGCGACGAACGAAACUCUGCUACAGAAGUUCAAUUCGGUGCAUAAGGACAACCAGUUCUACGAAAAACCGCAGAGGCGGGAACCCGCCUUUGUAGUGAGGCAUUACGCGGGACGUGUCAAAUACCAGGUAACGGCGAUGCGCGAGAAGAAUUUAGACCUCAUGAGGCAGGACAUAGUGAGCGUGCUCAAGAACUCGUCGCUGGCCUUCGUCAGAGAACUGGUGGGAGUCGAUCCCGUGGCGGUUUUCCGGUGGGCGAUCGUGCGAGCGUUCUUCAGAGGGUACUUUGCGUUUCUGGACGCUGGUAAGCGCCACCGCGUCAACAGGGUAGAUAGUGCCUCCCGUGUACCCCGACCUUCAAUACACGCGGCCAACGAGAGCAUCCUCAGCCAUCUGGUGACAGUAUCGUCAAUCAAUCUCGCAAUCAACCGCAUUGCAACGCCGCACAGAGCGCCGAGCAGGGGGCGCGACGCGGCGCGUAGCGAUACCAGGCCGAGGACAGAGACGACGAGUGUCGGUCGCGCGGGGGGGAAAGGGACAAAAAAUUAUAGGAUCGCCGAGACGCGCACGCGCCGCGUAGAGCGCGACUUGGACGACGCGGACGUCAUGCAGCGCGCCAGUCUCAUCGUCAUGAAAAACAAGUCGUUUAGACCUCGGGAGCGUGCUAAGAAGGGUCUAAAGAAUCUGCAGAGUGUUAAGACUUUGGCCGGAAGGACGGGUGCACCGGCCGGAAAAAGAAAACAACCGUUGACUGUCGCGACUCAGUUCCAGCAUUCGCUAGCGGCACUCAUGGAGACUCUCAAUCAGGCCAAUCCAUUCUUUAUCAGAUGUAUCAAAUCGAAUAGCGACAAAAUACCAAACGUGUUCGAUGAAGAGACGGUCCAACGGCAGUUGCGGUAUACGGGCAUGCUGGAGACUGUGCGUAUACGCCAAGCGGGCUACAACGUGCGGAUCACGUACGACGAGUUCAUACGCAUAUACCGUAUACUCCUCCCCAAGGGCCUGCUGAGCUCGCAGGCGGACGUCAAACACUUCCUGGCCACGCUUAAUCUAGACAGGGAUAAUUAUCAACUCGGUGCGACGAAGAUCUUCAUGCGCGAGAGCGAGCAGACGAAGCUGGACUACCGGCUGCACCAGCAGCUCAUGGCGUCCAUCAUCACCAUACAGCGGUGGUUCCGCGCCGUGCUCGAGCGACGACACUUCCUCGCGCUGCGCCGCGCUUCCGUCGUCAUACAGGCAUACUGCAGACACUGGCUGGUGGUACGCAACGAGGCGGCGCUGCGCGUCCAGGCGUGGUUCCGCGGGAACAAGGUGCGGCGCUGGUACCUGCGGCUGCGUGACGCCGCGAUACAGUUCCAAGCGGCCGCACGAGGGUUCCUCCUCAGGAAGUCCCUACCCGAGCUCAGGAGACGAAUACCCAGCAGGACGAAAGUACACCAUGACAGUAAAGCGGCACUGUGUGCGGACAGUGACGUCAGCCAGCCCAGCAUAGAACAGCUUAAGAACAUCAUCGAUAUACACCUAAACCUGCUAAGGCAAGAAGAAGCAGAAAAAACGAGACAACUACGGGCUACACAAUCACUGCCUCUUGCAAGUCUGGAGAAAAAACACGAUAGCACGUUACUAGAGAGAACUAUGUUGACAUACAACAAGAGAAGAGUGUCCAAAACACAGAACAUAUCCGAGUUGUCGCUGAACCAAUCUGCCGCAGGUCACCAAGAACCCAGCGAGUCGUCUCCCGAGGAGGGUUGGCCGAUAAUGCGAUACCCGCAGGUGCCUCGUCCGAAUAAGAUCACCGCUGAGGACUUGGCGAACGAGUUGCCGCGACUACGGAUAGACGAGAAUUACUUGAUGGCUGAGAAAAAUAAGAUCGAGAGAGAAUUGGAGUCGAUAGCGAGCAGCAGCGAAGAGUACUUGCGGCAAGCCGGCGAGUGCAAUAUGAACAAUUCUCGUCGCACAUCGCCACAAGUGUACCAACGCAGCCUAUCGAGCACGACGCUGGAGCCGCGCGCGUUACACAGCCUGCCGCCCGUGCGCCGCGACCCGCGCGACGCGCACGCACCGGCUAACACGCACUCACGUGACCAGCGUGACUCGCAUACGCAUGACGCGCAUGAUACGUCGCGUACGGCGGCGCGCGUGGCUGCGAGUCCGGAGGCGCCGGCGCGCGGGGCGCGGCGAGCGGCGCGGCGGGUGGAGCGGCCGGUCGCGCAGGCGUUGUCGGCGUUACCCGUGCUUCCCGUAGAACUAGACGACAGAUGUGUGCGCGGGGGCUCGCCGCUGCGGCGCCGCAACUCGGACCCGGCGGCCGCGCCGCUGCCCGCAGACUACAUCGGCCACACCGCUAACGGACUGUUCGGCAUUGCGGGACACCGAUUUCGCAAAGGCACUAGGUUUUCAAAGGACGACAAAUGCGUUUACUGCCAUCAAGCUAUCGACGCGUUCGUGACGCAGGGCCAGCGGUGUAUAGAUUGUAAACAGCUCUACCACACCAAAUGUAUACAGAAUAAGGGCGUUAUUACUAUGCCCUGUCCAAGUCCAGUCAAUGUAGCGAAUAGAACGAGGCAUAAAAUAAGAAAACGGGUGCUGUCGAAAGACACGCACUAUCUAACAACCGACAAAGGGUCGGUUAGUUCGAAUUUCAAUCUUACUGGCACCUCGGAGUUUAUGGAUCGGACGGACAAGAUCAUAUCGGACGCGGAUGAACUACAGGCGAUGCAGAACUUCAUCAAACAGAAGAUUCAUUUGAUGGAGGCCUCUGAGAGCGAGAAACAAUCAGAGGUCGACAGGGUAUUCAAGCACGCGCUCCGAGAGUUCAAAGACAAUCUGGUAGCGACAUACAGCGUCGUACAGACUCGCGGCUCGGCUCUCAAGUACAAGGACCUGAUAGGGAACUUCCUCCACGUUAUGGAGACGGUGUGCGCUCGCGAGGGGUCUACAUUAUCUAUUACUAUGGGGGUUAACGCGUUCCGAGGGUUUAUGGACGAGUUUAUGAGCCAGCACGAGACGGAUAAGGCCCGGACUAAACGGAAAAAGGAUAAGAAACGAAAGGUGGAGGACCUGAUCAAGCACGAGGGCCACACGUUCUACUUGUCGAUGAUCAACAUCCCCACGGAGUGCGAGGUGUGCAAGACGUUCUUCAUGUGGCCGCUAGAGAAGUCCCUCAUCUGCCAGACAUGCCGGCUCGUCACGCAUAAGAAGUGCUAUAUGAAGGUAACCUCUCAGUGCAGUAAGGAGGUGUUCAGGAAAGAUGGUGUGGUGUCAUCGACGACGGUGAUCGUCCGGGUGGUCGAUGCCAGCGGCCGGGAGAAGCUGGGAGUCGUGCCGAUUGGGAAGGUGUUUGGCGUGCCGUUGAGUGAGUUGCCGACCGGCGACAGCAACAUUCCAAUUGUGAUCGACAGGUUGAUUACUACAAUAGAGAUGACGGGCUUGUACACGGAGGGACUAUACAGAAAAAGUGGAUUAAGUUCUAAGGUGCGUGAGCUGCGCGCGCUACUCGACGCGCGGCCGGAGGAGGGCGUGGAGCGGCUGGACUCGUACGCGGUGCACGUGCGCGCCUCCGUGCUCAAGGGCUUCUUCCGCGAGCUGCCCGAGCCCCUGCUCACCUUCGACCUGUACGACGACUUCAUACUCGCCGCCGAGAUCUCUGACCCCCAGGAACGGGUGUCGUGUAUAUUCACAAUACUGAAGAAAUUACCCAAACCCAACUACGAUCUCGCCGAAAGACUCAUAUUCCAUCUCGCGAGGGUGGCACUAGUGGAAAAUCACAACAGGAUGGGUCCAAACGCGCUGGCGAUAGUGUUUGCGCCGUGCAUCCUGCGCACGCACAAGGUGCAGCCGGCGCAGGACUCGCUGCACGACAUCGCGCGGCAGACCACCGUGCUCGAGGCCAUACUCAUUGAUAAGAUUAAUAACACGCGAGGCGCACUAGCGGACAUCGAGACUCUAGAGAAGGCGAGCGCUACCGCUGCCGAUCGGCUACUCGAGAUGCGCGCGUCGCACAAGGCGCCCUCAAGACCUGAAGAGAAGAUCCUAGAGGGUCACAUACACGAGAUAGAGAAAGAAAAAGAUAUAAUCACGAAUAACCUACCCGCUCUUGUCAGGGCGACGUCCGACGAUGAUCUGCUUUCGACGACGGACCACGACGGCGAGUUUGGCAGCUCCGACGACCUGAGCACCGGCGCCGCCUCCCUGCGCUCCCAGCGGCUGCUGCACCGGCAGCUCUCCUCCGACGACCCCAUCAUGGUCUAAACCAGGUUCGCGAGGUGUAAACCAGGGGUCCGCGAGAUGUAACCAGGGGUCCGCGAGUUCGGAACCAGGGGUUCAUGAUCUCUAAACCAGGGGCUUGCGAGGCCUAAACCAAGUGUCAAGGGCACAUCCGUCAAGAGUUUCGCCAAAAUUAUUUAUGCUACCGCGAUACAUUACUAAAGCGUAGCGCAUAAUGAUGGGUAGAUAACAAGCCA